GUUGGAUAGGAGUGAAUCACCUGUUUGUGGGUCAAGGCACUUCGAGAUUUAUUUACAAACUAAACAUGUAGAGGCUUUACUUAUGUGCAAUAGGACCCGGGUUCGACCCCCGGCGUCUCCAUUU
rnacentral:tmRNA from 1 species